rnacentral:rRNA from 1 species
UACGUAGGGGGCUAGCGUUGUCCGGAUUUAUUGGGCGUAAAGAGCGUGUAGGCGGCCAGGUAGGUCCGUUGUGAAAACUCGAGGCUCAACCUCGAGACGUCGGCGGAAACCCUCUGGCUAGAGUCCGGAAGAGGAGAGUGGAAUUCCUGGUGUAGCGGUGAAAUGCGCAGAUAUCAGGAAGAACACCCGUGGCGAAGGCGGCUCGCUGGGCCGGUCCUGACGCUGAGCCGCGAAAGCGUGGGGAGCGAUCCGG